rnacentral:lncRNA from 1 species
UUUCUCCUCCACAGUUCCCUUUCAGGAGUGCCCAUCCAGUCCCGAUUCCCCUUCUCUCACUCUCCUCUUUUCUCUUGUUUUACCCAGUUAUGUCAAGAGAUUCUUGCCAUUAUUGGAGGUUUAAGUUCUUCCGCCAGCGUUUAGUUGCUGUUCUGUGCAAGUCCUUUAACAUGUAGAUAUUUUUGUUGUUGUUGUGUUUGUGGGAGAGGGUGAGCGUGUCCCCCUACUCUUCCACCAUCUUGCCUUGUCUCUCUUGUGUUUUUUAAUCUAUGUAAAAAUUUCAUUGAAAAAUUAAGUUUACAGAAACGGACUCACAGUUAGAGAGGACAAACUGGUGGUUACCUUGGGGAGAAGGAAAGGGGAGGGGCAAGAUAGGGGUUAAAAGCACAAGCUACAUUGUCUAAAAUAACCAAUUUACAAGGAUAUGCUGUGCAACACAAGGAGUACAGACAAUAUUUAUAACAACUCUAAAUGGAAUAGUCUUAUUAAAUUUUUGAAUCACUGUGUUGUACACCUGAAACUAAUAUAAGAUUGUAAAUCAGGCAUUCCCAUCGUGGCUCACUGGAAAUGAAUCUGACUAGCAACCAUGAGGACACAGUUUCAAUCCCUGGCCUCGCUCAGUGUGUUAUGGAUCUGAUGUUGCUGAGAGCUGUGGUGCAGCUCAUAUGCGAAGUUGCUGUGGAGAAGGAUCCGGAGUUGCUGAUUCGACAUCUAGCCUGGGAACCUCCAUAUGUUGUGGGUGCGGCCCCCCCCAAAAAAAGAUUGUAAAUCAACUACAUGUCAAUUUAAAUAAUUACGUUUAUUUCCAAAUGAUGUUUUUCCAUAAGUACUAUAACUUCAAGAAUAGAAUCAUAGCUAUUAGGAAACAUAUCCAGGCCUUGUAGCACAGGCAAAAGACAAAUAUUGAUCUGUUGACCAUUGAAAGCAGCGAACUAGAAGGAAAGGAGAAAGGGCAAACCCUUGGUAUUAGUCAGAACUUUUCAGCACAAGAUUCAGAAAACCCAUCUCAAACUGGCUUAAUUCUGAAAGAGGCAUUUCUUGGCUCUGAAACACCCAGGAGCAAGGCUGGUUGCAAACACAGCUGGAAUCGGAGGCAGGAGGGGUGUUCCCAGCUUAGUUCCUCAUUGUCAGGAUCUUACGCUCAGCCCCGCUUUGCAGAGCGAGGUUUGCUGGCAGCUCGCAAGGUUCACACCACCAGCUGGGUGAAUGGAAAAAGAACACGGGCCUCUCUCUCACCUGGCCUGGCAAAAGAGUCAGUGGGUCUCAUUGGCCCCCUGAACCCAUCACUGCAGCCCGGGCAAUGGCAUCGAUCCGAGAGGGAUGCAAAGAGCUGGGAGAACCCAGCCACCCAAUGGGCAAAGUUGUAGGACCCGGACUCAGCCGCUCUAGAAGAAGCAUGUGAUGUGGGCACUGCCCAUACAUGCAAGGCUAUUUGAAGUUGUUUCUUUUACAGGUAAGUUUCUUCACCUGAGGCUCAUUUUCUCAUGGAGAAAAAUGCCUAGUUCAUAGUGUUGAAAGGAUUAAAUUAAAACCUAAGGAAAGCACCUAAAAGAACAGUAGAAACAAUACUUUUUGAAGAUGAAUUCUUUUUUUCCUUCAUAGUCUUUUUUCUUUAAUUUUUAGAUUUCAUACAAAUUUUAAAGAUUACUUUACAUUUAAGUUAUUAUAAAAUAUUGGCUCUAUUCCCCGUGUUGUACAAUACAAACUGGAGCCGAUCUUAACACCCAAUAGUUUGUUCAUCCUACCUCUCUGCCCCUCCCCUCAUCUCCCCACUGUCACCACUAGUUUGUUUUCUUAUAACUGUGAGUCUGCUUCUUUUUUGUUAUAUUCGCUAGUUUGUCCUGGUUUUUCGAUUCCUCCUAUUAGUGGUGUGGGAAGACGAAUUGUUUCCUUUCUGGCCUUCAAGAGUCCAGGCUUUGCAGAGGCAGCAAUGAUCACUAUCACCAUUAGGUGGCAGUCGUGUGCCAGAAGGUUAAAGGCCUGGGAUUUCUGUCAGUGGAAAUUAAGAACUGGUUAAAAUGAUGAUUGGCAGCUGGAGCAAAGCUUGGGGACUGAGAGGCCAGUUGCCACUGCACUGAAACCAACCUGUGUGACCUUGAUCAAGGUCUGAAUGGAUCUCUGGCCCAGAUUCCCUCCAGUAAAACUUGGGGGCCAAUUCUCCAUUUGGAGUUAAAUCUUUUUUGUUUCUUUCUGUAAAAGGUGAAAUUUGCCUUUCAUAGUAAUAAUCUCAGAAGCCAAAAACUGCUCAACAUGCUUGGUCAUUAAUACAUACUGUUUAAAAAUAUGACUGGAUUAAGCAUGAUCCAUUCAUUUAUCGCUAAGUCGCUGCUACCCUGGGAGGCCUGAGAGCAUUCACGCCAUUUAGUGAGAUGACUAAUGGGCCCGCAGAGAUGCUCUCGAGUUACACACAGCUCAGAAAAUCCUCCUUGGAGGCCAGCAAUUCGAAAACCUCACUAUUAAAAAGAGUCACACUGAGCAGCCUUCAAAAGUAUUCCAGUCAUGUAAUUAUAUUUUAAUGGAAGGUUCUUAAAAUGGCUUGGAAAAGCAGAAGGAGUUCAGAACAUUUCAGGUCUGAAAUAGGUUGGAAGUAUCUGGGGCAGCAGGAGAAAUCAGGAAAUGGUGACAUAUAAUUGGGCUUAAGAAGGAAAAUGAUGACACUCCAUUUUCUGCACGAAUUACAACUUAUAACAAAGUUGAAAUAAGAUGAUGUGAUACAAAUGAGCAUUUACCUGGUAUCAUAUAUCAAGGGAGGAUAUUGCACUUCGUAACACAGAAUUCUUUACAAGCGAAGUGCUGUGCUGGGUCCAUGUUAGUCAGUAUAAAAAUCCUCGCAAAAAGAGACCCCAUUGAAAUUCUAAGGGUGUUCACACAUUUCUGCAUUCCAUAGAGAUGUGGAACAGCCUCGUCUGAACACUUGACCUUUAUUUCUCAGCAUGCUCCUUUUUCAGGAUAAAGCCUCUUGAAUUCUUAAACCUGGCAGGUGGGGGUAAGGAUUCAUUCUCAGGUUUCCCUCCUCCUAUAUAAAUCCAGACUGUGCUUUGCCUUAUAAGGAAGGAGAGAAAAUUUAUGAAGGUGUAGUUAACCAAAAUUUCAGAAAUGGAGACCUGAUUGAAAGGAAAAGGUAUUUAUUUGGGGUUGGUUAAGACAGCAACCCAGGAGACACAGAUUCAAGAAGCACUUGAAUUGUGUUCCACUGGACCACAAAAAUGGGGGAUGCUUCUGAAGGCCAAAGCUCUAAGAUUACAAGGAGUUACAUGAGUUGUUUUAAAGAAUUAUUAUAGGAGCUGGCAAGAAGUAGGGGUGAUUGGAAAGUAAGGAUUUGCUGGGCUCUGAAAUUAUUACAUCGUUACAAGAGAUCUUGAGACCUUUUUUCUGCUGGUAGGUUUUGUUCUGAAUAUGGCUGGUUGCAUGCUUGGGUCUGGUACAGUUCAAUGAAAGUUCAGGUUCUCAGUGGUGCAAGAACAUGUCUGAGAGCAGAUCUUCAAUGGCCACUCGAUUCUGUUUUUUUGGAAUCUAUCUUCCUGCACUGUGAAGACCCCAUUAUCAUUUUAGUGUGUCAUCGGUAUUUAUUUAUUAGGUUGCUGUUGAAAGAUCUGAAAGAAUGAAAGCUGCUUCAUUUUCUCUUUUUCCUCACACAUUUCAAGGAGGGAGCCAAGACUUGAAGAUCUCUUGCUUUGGGUGGUUGUGGUGAGGUCAGAGCAGAAAGCCCCAGUUACUUUCAUGCCACCUUGAGGGCUUAAGGCACAGCAUGCUGGGCACAUUCCCAGGGUUUCUGCUUCACCAAAUCUGGGGUGGAGUCCAGGAAUUGGUGUUUCUAACCACGAGUCUCCCUUCAGUGCUAGAUAUUGAGGGACAGGACCACACAUUGAGAGCUACUGUUUUAAGGCAAUAUCUCUCCCUGGGCAGCCUAGAAACGUUUUCCUUUCAGAAGUCUGAACCUGAGCUUCUGAGAGGGUUAUUCUGGGGAGUGCGCAUGGAGAUAGGAAGGGAUAGUUGAAGGGGUCCAUGGAGGGAACAUCAAAGUUCUUGAAAUUGAGGGACCAGGCAUUCCCAAACCUCAGGAUGGGGGUCUGUGAAUCCUGAACUUGAGGAUCAGUGCCUGUUCCUUAGCCUCACCCCAGGGCUAGGCUGAGCUCAGGUGAGGAUGGGGCUUGACAGUAAGAUGCUUUGUCCAAAACUAGGUAAGCCAGCUUCUUGGAUGAACUUGGACGGUGACCAUCUGGAGCACCUGCGACACAGCGAGAAAUUUGCUUAUACAAAUAUCCCGCCAGAUUUGUAUGUAAACCCUGGGAGAGGAGGACACAUAGCUGAAUUCCUUAGCAGUUUGUUACCAAGUCCAAGCUCACAUUGCUUGCCACAUGACAGCUCAGUAAUUCAAGAGGUGAGGUGUUGGGCGGAGAAAUAUGACCUUAUUGGGAAAGUCGGCAGACCAAGAUGGUGAACUUGUGUCCCAAAGAACAUUCUUACUGGAGUUAGAAUUCAGCUUCCUUUAUACUAAAAGGAGAGCGGGUGUGGUUGCUUGUUGCAAACUUGUUGCAACAGGCAACUUCUUGAUGCAGAAAUCCUUUGUUCUUGCAGCUGUCCAUGUAGAUCAGAUCACCUGUUCUUGUAAACCUCAAACAAGACAAAUAUUAUUCUCUGUUCUGUCACUUUUCAUCUCUGUAUGAAUGGGAAAGUGUUAUACCUUUUUUUCAUGUAUUUUCAGGCUAUAGGCAACACUCCCUAACAAAAGGUGCAGGGCCAGCAUGACUUAGCACAGGCAACAGAGCACAAGGGUUAGUGCUAAAAGAAUAGAUUCAAUAUGGAGUCAGGUUCAUUCCUCUCUGCUACAAAUUCAAUAGCACAAGGGAUGGCAGUCAGAUUUAAUUUGAUUUGAAGAAAAUAAUGAGACAUUUCUUGACUACCCAACCUUGAGUAAGUGCCACCCGCUACACGAGUUUCUGACUUAUAAUUCACAUGCUUUAGUAUUUGAGGCCUCUCAAUGCAAAUACAUACACUCAUAUUUCCAUCCCUGCUACAGCUCUGGGUCCUCUUGGGAGGGAGGAGCUGGGCUUUUCCCAACAGCUGUGCAAAUCUCACUCUGUCCAAGGGCUGGGGGCUAAAAUCCAGUCAGGCUAUGAGGAAAAGUGACGUUAUCUAAUUUUUUAACGUGCACACCCCAUUCCUACAUAAAAUUGUACUAUGAAUAUACUAUACCUUAGGCAUUUUCCUAUUGCCUUUCACGUGGUUCUUCCUUUCACCACCUUAACAAAUAUCCUUGUGCAUUUCUCCUGCUGCUGCUGAUCUUCUCCUGCCCUUUCACGUUAGAUACUUAGAAAUGGAAUUGCUCAAUGACCUGACAUUUUCACGUGACUUUUCUCACAGAAAUUCUGCCAAUUAGAGAUGCAUGUGAUAUUAGAAGCAGUUUUUUUAAAAAAAUGCCAAGAUUUCUGAGAGUGUUCGAGCCAUAACCCAAGGGUGUAAAUUAGUCCAAGCAGGUUGCUUUCCUUGAAUUUCUAGUUGAAUAUACUGUCCUGAGCAAAUGAACAGAAAAUCAGAGGAGAAUGAGUGGAGAAAACUAAAAUAGGGACAUUUGGAGUAGGGAUAAGGGCAUGAUGCUUAGUGACUUAAAUUACAUUUAUGUAAUGCAAUGGCACUGGAUUCCUGAGGGUUGAAUACAGAGACAUUAGAAGAUAGAAGAUUGUGAGGAUUAGCUUGUAUCUCAAAUUAUAGCUCAGUCCAAUCCCAUUUCCCACUAAGAAAGAGGGAAAAACACCCACUUUCUUUUCUCUGGGACCUGGGGCUCAGGUGAUGUGUGUUAAGCCUCAUUAUGGGUUAAAUAGACCUUGAGGGGAUCCCAUGGAAAUUUCAAUCUCAUUGCAGUAUUGCAUCUACAGGGACUGUAUUUCUCUUUCCAAACAAUUGAUUUCAGUAUAUAGUCUUGGUGCUCAACCAUUAAUGAGGAGGGUAAGUUAUGUGGUUGUAAAGCUCAAACUUGAAGGACCAUGCUUUUUUUUUUGGACUUGAAUAAGCACAAUUAAAGUGGUUGAACCAAGAAGAAGCCAUGCCCCAAAAUCUCUAAGAGGUUUCAAAUGCAUUUGCUACAAUUCUUCUCCUUCUCCUUCUUCUUUUUUUUUUUUUUUUAACACAGCUGCACCUAAAGCAUGUGGAAGUUCCCAGGUUAGGGAUUGAAUUGGAGCUUCAGCUGCCAGCCUAAGGCAAAACCAGAUCCAAGCUAUGUCUGCAACCUAUGCCACAAGUUGUGGCAACACCAGAUCCCUAACCACUGAACCAGGCCAGAGAUUGAACCCACAUUUUCACAGAGACCAUGUCAAGUUCUUAACCUGCUGAGCCAUAAUGGGAACUCCCCAUUUACUGCAAUUCUGGAGCUGGGUUGGUUAGUUGUCAUGUUAAAAGCCAGGCUUGGAGUUCCCAUCGUGGCUCAGUGGUUAAUGAAUCCGACUAGGAACCAUGAGGUUGCGGAUUUGAUCCCUGGCCUCGCUCAGUGGGUUAAGGAUCCAUUGUUGCCCUGAGCUGUGGUGUAGGUCGAAGACGAGGCUUGGAUCUGGCAUUGCUGUGUCUGUGGUGUAGGCCGGUGGCUACAAUUCUGAUUAGACCCCUAGCCUGGGAACCUCCGUAUACCAUGGAAGCAGCCCUAGAAAAGGCAAAAAGACAAAAAAAAAAAAAAAAAAAA